rnacentral:rRNA from 1 species
CCUACGGGUGGCAGCAGUGAGGAAUAUUGGUCAAUGGCCGCGAGGCUGAACCAGCCAAGUCGCGUGAGGGAAGACUGUCCUAUGGAUUGUAAACCUCUUUUGUCAGGGAGCAAAGUCACCCACGCGUGGGUGUUGGAGAGUACCUGAAGAAAAAGCAUCGGCUAACUCCGUGCCAGCAGCCGCGGUAAUACGGAGGAUGCGAGCGUUAUCCGGAUUUAUUGGGUUUAAAGGGUGCGCAGGCGGGUUAUCAAGUCAGAGGUAAAAUGGUGAGGCUCAACUCCAUCCAGCCGUUGAAACUGAUGAUCUUGAGUGGGCGAGAAGUAUGCGGAAUGCGUGGUGUAGCGGGGAAAUGCAUAGAUAUCACGCAGAACUCCGAUUGCGAAGGCAGCAUGCCGGAGCCGGACUGACGCUGAAGCACGAAAGCGUGGGUAUCGAACAGGAUUAGAUACCCUAGUAGUC